AUGCAGAAUUCAGUGAAUCAUCGAAUCUUUGAACGCAUCUUGCGCUCCUUGGUAUUCCGAGGAGCAUGCCUGUUUGAGUGUCAUU
rnacentral:rRNA from 1 species